rnacentral:rRNA from 1 species
GUCUACAGCCAUGCUACCCUGAACAAGCUCGAUCCUGUCUAAUCUCGGAAGCUAAGCAGGGUUGGGACUGGUUAGUAUGCGGAUGGGAGACCACCUAGGAAGACCAGGUGAUGUAGGCG